UACGGAGGAUGCGAGCGUUAUCCGGAUUUAUUGGGUUUAAAGGGUGCGUAGGCGGGCUUUUAAGUCAGCGGUAAGAAUUCGGGGCUCAACCCCGUCCGGCCGUUGAAACUGGGGGUCUUGAGUGGGCGAGAAGAAGGCGGAAUGCGUGGUGUAGCGGUGAAAUGCAUAGAUAUCACGCAGAACCCCGAUUGCGAAGGCAGCCUUCCGGCGCCCUACUGACGCUGAGGCACGAAAAUGCGGGGAUCGAACAGG
rnacentral:rRNA from 1 species